rnacentral:rRNA from 1 species
GAUGAACGCUGACGGCGUGCCUAAUACAUGCAAGUCGAGCGAACGGACGAGAAGCUUGCUUCUCUGAUGUUAGCGGCGGACGGGUGAGUAACACGUGGAUAACCUACCUAUAAGACUGGGAUAACUUCGGGAAACCGUAGCUAAUACCGGAUAAUAUUUUGAACCGCAUGGUUCAAAAGUGAAAGACGGUCUUGCUGUCACUUAUAGAUGGAUCCGCGCUGCAUUAGCUAGUUGGUAAGGUAACGGCUUACCAAGGCAACGAUGCAUAGCCGACCUGAGAGGGUGAUCGGCCACACUGGAACUGAGACACGGUCCAGACUCCUACGGGAGGCAGCAGUAGGGAAUCUUCCGCAAAGGGCGAAAGCCUGACGGAGCAACGCCGCGUGAGUGAUGAAGGUCUUCGGAUCGUAAAACUCUGUUAUUAGGGAAGAACAUAUGUGUAAGUAACUGUGCACAUCUUGACGGUACCUAAUCAGAAAGCCACGGCUAACUACGUG